CCUACGGGGGGCAGCAGUAGGGAAUAUUGGACAAUGGGCGCAAGCCUGAUCCAGCCAUGCCGCGUGAGUGAAGAAGGCCCUCGGGUUGUAAAGCUCUUUUGUCCGGAAAGAAAAGCAAUCGGUUAAUACCCGGUUGUUCUGACGGUACCGGAAGAAUAAGCACCGGCUAACUUCGUGCCAGCAGCCGCGGUAAUACGAAGGGUAAAAGCUUUACUCGGAAUUACUGGGCGUAACUCGUUAGUUGUGGGGUGAAAGCCCUGGGCUCAACCUGGGAAUGGCAUUGGAUACUGGCGGGCUAGAGUGCGGUAGAGGGUAGUGGAAUUCCCGGUGUAGCAGUGAAAUGCGUAGAGAUCGGGAGGAACAUCUGUGGCGAAGGCGACUGCCUGGACCAGCACUGACACUGAGGCACGAAAGCGUGGGGAGCAAACAGGAUUAGAUACCCGUGUAGUC
rnacentral:rRNA from 1 species